ensembl:lncRNA
CUUCACUGUUGGCAGUGGAGGCAAGGGCAUCUUGCUGGAAGAUCCCUACCUAUCUGAGGCCUACCAGGGAUGUGGAUACAAUAAAGGCUUGGGCGACAGUAGUCCUUCAAAAGUAGAAAAGGAUAGUAAUCAUCUCCUUCCAACAGUCCAACGACCAACCAAUCUCUCAAAAUCAGGCCUUGUACUAUGACUAUUGUCCUUGGGAGCAUGUUCCAAUGCCUGACCACCUUCUGGAGAAGAACUUUUUCUUAAGACCCAACCUGGUCCUGACCUGAUGCAGCUCCAUGCUAUUCCUUCAGUUUCUGUGGCUGGUUACCAGAGAGAAGAUAUCAGCAUCUCCUCCUCUGCUCACCUUCCUUAUCUCUGUAUUCCUAGUAAAAAAGAAACAGGCUCUAUUUUACUUCACAAAAUUCAAAUCAGAAAUACUGAUCGUAAAAUUGGUG